rnacentral:rRNA from 1 species
AUACGUAGGGGGCGAGCGUUGUCCGGAAUGAUUGGGCGUAAAGGGCGCGUAGGCGGCCCGGUAAGUCUGGAGUGAAAGUCCUGCUUUUAAGGUGGGAAUUUCUUUGGAUACUGUCGGGCUUGAGUGCAGGAGAGGUAAGUGGAAUUCCCAGUGUAGCGGUGAAAUGCGUAGAGAUUGGGAGGAACACCAGUGGCGAAGGCGACUUACUGGACUGUAACUGACGCUGAGGCGCGAAAGUGUGGGGAGCAAACAGGAUUAGAUACCCUGGUAGUCCACACUGUAAACGAUGAAUGCUAGGUGUAGGGGGUAUCGACCCCUUCUGUGCCGCAGUUAACACAAUAAGCAUUCCGCCUGGGGAGUACGGCCGCAAGGUUGAAACUCAAAGGAAUUGACGGGG